UACGGGGGGUGCGAGCGUUGUCCGGAAUCACUGGGCGUAAAGGGCGCGUAGGUGGUUUGAUAAGGGUGUGGUGAAAGUCCGGGGCUCAACCCCGGAUCUGCCGUGCCGACUGUCAAACUCGAGGGCUGUAGAGGCAGACGGAAUUCCGGGUGUAGCGGUGGAAUGCGUAGAUAUCGGGAGGAACACCAGUGGCGAAGGCGGCUUUCUGGCCCGUUCUUGACGCUGAGGCGCGAAAGCUAGGGUAGCAAACGGG
rnacentral:rRNA from 1 species